CCUACGGGAGGCAGCAGUGGGGAAUAUUGGGCAAUGGGCGCAAGCCUGACCCAGCAACGCCGCGUGAAGGAAGAAGGCUUUCGGGUUGUAAACUUCUUUUCUGAGGGACGAAGAAAGCGACGGUACCUCAGUAAUAAGCCACCGCUAACUACGUGCCAGCAGCCGCGUUAAUACGUAGGUCGCAGGCGUUAUCCGGAUUUAUUGGGUGUAAAGGGCGUGUAGGCGGGAAAGCAAGUCAGAUGUGAAAACUCAGGGCUCAACCCUUAGCCUGCGUUUGAAACUGUUUUUCGUGAGUGCUGGAGAGGCAAUCGGAAUUCCGUGUGUAGCGGUGAAAUGCGUAGAUAUACGGAGGAACACCAGUGGCGAAGGCGGAUUGCUGGACAGUAACUGACGCUGAGGCGCGAAAGCGUGGGGAGCAAACAGGAUUAGAUACCCUUGUAGUC
rnacentral:rRNA from 1 species